GCUUAACGCGAAGAACCUUACCCAGAUUUGACAUGCAGAUGACGUAUUCAGAAAUGGAUAUUCCCUUCGGGGCGUCUGCACAGGUGCUGCAUGGCUGUCGUCAGCUCGUGCCGUGAGGUGUUGGGUUAAGUCCCGCAACGAGCGCAACCCUUAUCAUUAGUUGCCAUCACUUUGGGUGGGCACUCUAAUGAGACUGCCUGGGUUAACCAGGAGGAAGGUGAGGAUGACGUCAAGUCCGCAUGGCCCUUACGUCUGGGGCUACACACGUACUACAAUGGUCGGUACAGAAGGCAGCUAAGCCGCGAGGUAGAGCAAAUCCUAGAAAGCCGAUCUCAGUUCAGAUUGUAGUCUGCAACUCGACUACAUGAAGUCGGAAUUGCUAGUAAUGGCGAGUCAGCAACAUCGCCGUGAAUACGUUCCCCGGGUCUUGUACAC
rnacentral:rRNA from 1 species